ensembl:lncRNA
UCGUGGUUUUUGUAUUAUUGUACUUGUGUUAUUCUAUGGUUUCUAGUUUUGAUCCCUUGCCCUUCAUGUUUCUGUGUCCCCUCGGUUCUGUGUAAGUCUGUGUCUUUGCAUGUUUGAGUUUUGUUGUUUUCUGUCACUCUGUAUUGUGAAUUAUGUUCUCAUGGUUGGUCUUUUGUUACUCUCUCGAGUCUAGUUUCUUGUGUUCCAAGCUUAGUAUUUCCCUCUGUGUAUUUUGGUUCUUAGACCUCUGCCUUAUGGUUUAUGUCUCUGUGUUUCUUAGUUGCUGUCUUCACUGUGCCAAGUUCGUGUCUCUGUGUCAUACUUCCUGUUAUACUUUGAAGGUCCAUGUCUUAUGUGAAUGUGUCCUGCUUUGCUUCCUUGUCUCGUCAGUCCUGAUUUCUCCCAGCUGUGCCCUCCUUCUGUGUCUCAUUCCCCUCGUUACUUCCCAGUGUAUUUAAACCCUGUGUUUUUCUGAGUCAGUGUCGUGUUGUCCCUCAAGUUGUGUGUUUCCUUGUGUGCCUCUCUGCAAAGUGUAAGUUUAUAUUCUUCCCAGUUUAGUUUUGUUUGCUUUCCCCUGUCAACAAAUAAAGCUGAGUUUUUUGAGUUCAUCCCUCGAGUCUGAGUACCUGCAUCUGGGGUCCAACGCCUGCCUGCCACACAGCGAUUCUUGACAGAACGACGCGACCAGACAUGGACUCAGCAGGCUCCUCCCGGGAAAGCGAUUUGGCCCGCAUCUUCAGUCUGUGGAAGCGAGUUUCCCACGCCUCGGACACUAAAACAAUGUCCAUUGGGAUAAAUGCCAUCGAGGCAAUUCUCAAGGGGAAUCCCCAUCUUCGCGAGCUCUCAGGAUUUUUGGGCCUACUUUCCAAUCUGCAUAAAGCCAAGGAGGCGGUACGAGCUUGCCGUGCCGCAGCAACAGUCGCUAAUGGAGCUCGUCAUACCGCAACAGCGACCGCCACAAUUGGAAAACAUUUCCAUGCCGCUGCCACAGAACUCCUCUCCAUCCACCCUCCGCUCUGACUGUCACUCACCCGCUGCUUUUCUCGCAGCAAUGUGGUCGGAGGAUGAGGAGCCGACCGUGACCUCUCCGUCGUUGCCAGUUUCCUCCAUCCCUGCACCUCCUGCUUCCCGAAGAAAACAGCGUUCACUCCGCCGACACCCACCGCCACAGCCGGACCCCAAGACUUCUGAGCUGCCGGCUGUGCCGAGAAAUGCGCAGUGUUUGAUAGCUUGCUGCGAGACCUCACACCGUGCACAUCUACUGCGGGUGUGGUGCCUGUUAUCGGACACGGAGUUAGCAACAUCCCCGAAAAACCCGAAGAGGAGAGUCCUGGCCCCUAGCCCUGUCAGCGUAGCAGAAAUGAUGAUGGCAGCAGCAGCCGUUCUCCUCUGCCUUUUCACCUACGCAAAUCAAGCCUCGGUCUUCAGACGUGAAGACAUCUACCAGAGUCUCAAUCCAGUCAGCAGGGAUCGUAACCAGCUCUAUUCUACACUCGUGCCCAAUUAGGAUGUGCAGUUUUUGAAUUUUUAAGUGUGCACAGUGUAAUUGGUUUUUUUGGUUUUUUUUGGAGUUAAUCUUGGAAGAAUUAAGCUUGUCAUGUAGCCAUGACACAGUCUGACCCAAGACGGUAUACAUUUCCUGUGAGUAAUCCUUCCUUCCUUCCUGUGUUUAUUUCAGGAGUUAGAGCUCAAUAUAAGGGUUAAGUCUAAAGUCUGCACAUUUAACCUCAUUGCAUAUUACUCACCACAUUAUGAUUUAAAAUUUUUGAUGUCAUAAAAAGCAUUUGUAUCAUAAAACAAGUGAACAGAUUUUUUUUUUUUCACAUUUUUACACCUGUAAUUUUCUGUUCAAUAAAAGAACGUUUUGAUCUCAUAUGGCUGGAAUUUGCUCACUUGGGGAAAAAAUAUAAACUGAUUAAAAAAAAAACAUCCUAAAAUUGUUGUAUUUUAAAUGUUUUUAUGUUAACGAAC